AGAUGCUUCGUGGCGGUGUA
rnacentral:snRNA from 1 species